ACACACCUUUGUUUAUCCAUUCACUUGUCUACAGGCAACGUUGUUUCCACAUCUCAGCUACUGUGAAUGAUACUGCAAUGAACAUGGCAAUACAAGUAGCUCUCAGAGAGUCGGAUUUCAUUUCUUCCGGGACUCAUACCCAGAAGUGGGAUUGCUGGAUGAAAUGGUAAUUCUACUUUUAGUUUCUUGGGAAAUCUGCAUACUAUUUUCCAUAGCCGCUGUGCCGAUUUACCUUCCUACCAACAGGGUAUGAGGGUUCCUUUUUCCACACUCCCACUGACACUUUUAUCUUUUUGACAGCAGCCAUUAUAAUAGGUGUGAGGUGAUAUCCCACUGUGGUUUUGGUUUGCAUUUCCUUGUUGAACAAUGAUGCUCAUAUACCUGUUGGACAUUCUUAUAUCUUCUUUAAAAAAAUGUCAGCUCCUUUUUCUCCAUUUUUUAAUUAGGUCGUUUUUGUUUUUGCAAAUGAGUUGUCUGAGUUCCUUAUAUAUAUUGAAAUGUUAACCCCUUAUCAAAUGUAUGGUUUGCAAAUAUCUUCUCCCAUUCCAUAGGCUGCCUUUACAUUUUGCUGAUUGUUUCUUUUGCAUGCAGGAACUUUUCAGUUGGAUGUAGUCCCACUUGUUCAUUUUUUUCUUUUGUUGCCUGUGCUUUUCGUAUCAUAUCCAAAAAAUCAUUGCCCAGACCAAUAUCAAAGAGCAUUUUCCCUAUGUUUUCUCCUAGUCUCUCAUUUAAAUUGUUAAUCCAUUUUGAGUUGAUUUUUGUAUAUGGUGUGAGAUAAGGAUCCACUUUCAUUCUUCUCCAUAUGGUUAUUAAAUUU